UGGGAACGUGCCUUUUGGUUCGGAACAACCCAGGGAAACUUGGGCUAAUACCGGAUAAGCCCUUACGGGGAAAGAUUUAUCGCCAAAAGAUCGGCCCGCGUCUGAUUAGCUAGUUGGUAGGGUAAUGGCCUACCAAGGCUACGAUCAGUAGCUGGUCUGAGAGGAUGAUCAGCCACAUUGGGACUGAGACACGGCCCAGACUCCGUACGGGAGGCAG
rnacentral:rRNA from 1 species